AGACAGCAGCAGCCGCGGGAAUACAGAGGGUGCGAGCGUUAAUCGGAUUUACUGGGCGUAAAGCGUGCGUAGGCGGCUUUUUAAGUCGGAUGUGAAAUCCCUGAGCUUAACUUAGGAAUUGCAUUCGAUACUGGGAAGCUAGAGUAUGGGAGAGGAUGGUAGAAUUCCAGGUGUAGCGGUGAAAUGCGUAGAGAUCUGGAGGAAUACCGAUGGCGAAGGCAGCCAUCUGGCCUAAUACUGACGCUGAGGUACGAAAGCAUGGGGAGCAAACAGGAUUAGAUACCCGGGUAGUCCCUGUCUCUUAUAC
rnacentral:rRNA from 1 species